ACCUCUGUGGCACAAUGGGUCACUGCGUCUGGGUGCUAACCAGAAGGUUGGUGGUUCGAGCCCACCCAGGGAAG
rnacentral:tRNA from 1 species